rnacentral:siRNA from 1 species
AUUUAUCAUAUCUUCACAUGC